UAGGUACAGAGGGCAGCUACCCAGCGAUGGGAUGCGAAUCUCGAAAGCCUAUCUCAGUUCGGAUCGGAGGCUGAAACCCGCCUCCGUGAAGUUGGAUUCGCUAGUAAUCGCGCAUCAGCCAUGGCGCGGUGAAUACGUUCCCGGGCCUUGUACACACCGCCCGUCAAGCCAUGGAAGCUGGGGGUGCCUGAAGUUCGUAACCGCGAGGAUCGCCCUAGGGUAAAACUGGUGACUGGGGCUAAGUCGUAACAAGGUAAC
rnacentral:rRNA from 1 species